rnacentral:rRNA from 1 species
UACGUAGGGGGCAAGCGUUGUCCGGAAUUAUUGGGCGUAAAGCGCGCGCAGGCGGUUCUUUAAGUCUGGUGUCUAAGUGCGGGGCUCAACCCCGUGAUGCACUGGAAACUGGAGGACUUGAGUGCAGAAGAGGAGAGCGGAAUUCCACGUGUAGCGGUGAAAUGCGUAGAGAUGUGGAGGAACACCAGUGGCGAAGGCGGCUCUCUGGGACGUGACUGACGCUGAGACGCGAAAGCGUGGGGAGCGAACAGG